UGGUUCGCCCGAGCUGUUUCUGUUUUACAGU
rnacentral:piRNA from 1 species